rnacentral:rRNA from 1 species
UACAGAGGGUGCAAGCGUUAAUCGGAAUUACUGGGCGUAAAGCGUGCGUAGUCGGUUAUCUAAGUCGGGUGUGAAAUCCCCGGGCUCAACCUGGGAAUUGCAUUCGAUACUGGAUAGCUAGAGUUCGGCAGAGGGAAGCGGAAUUUCCGGUGUAGCGGUGAAAUGCGUAGAUAUCGGAAGGAACAUCUGUGGCGAAGGCGACUGCCUGGACCAGCACUGACACUGAGGCACGAAAGCGUGGGGAGCAAACAGG